AGAGUUUGAUCCUGGCUCAGAAUCAACGCUGGCGGCGCGCUUAACACAUGCAAGUCGCACGAGAAAGCGGGGGCAACCUCGUAAGUAAAGUGGCGUACAGGUGAGUAACACGUGGGUAAUCUACCUCUGGGUGUGGAAUAACGCUGGGAAACCGGCGCUAAUACCGCAUAAGCUCGGGAGAGGAAAGCAGCAAUGCGCCGAGAGAGGAGCCCGCGGCCGAUUAGCUAGUUGGUGAGGUAACGGCCCACCAAGGCUUAGAUCGGUAGCCGGCCUGAGAGGGCACACGGCCACACUGGCACUGAAACACGGGCCAGACUCCUACGGGAGGCAGCAGUGGGGAAUCUUGCACAAUGGGGGCAACCCUGAUGCAGCGACGCCGCGUGAGCGAUGAAGCCCUUCGGGGUG
rnacentral:rRNA from 1 species